UGACAGGAUGCUAAGGAUCCAGCAACUCUUGCCAAUCUAAUUGUGUGCUGUCUUCACAUUGGCCUCUCGUUUCCCCACCCAAUUGAAACUUGCACAUCCAGAUCACAUCCUCAUUAAAAGGUCGGCAUCGGCCAAAGAGGGCUUUGACAGAGCAAUUCAGACAGUUGCUUGAAGACCGAGUGUGGUGGGAAGAACACAUUUAACCAUGACGAUAUCAAUGAAACUCAAAAUGAAUGGACAGCCAAGCUCCUUGAGCGGAUGAGCCAAAGUUAGGGUAACUUUUGUAAUUAGAAUUAAAAAACAAAGUAAUUAUAUUUAAGUCAUGCACUUACAUAGUUAAGGCAAGAAUUCCUACAUAUUUGAUCUUGUAGUUUUUAGAUUUGGAAAAUACCGAGUUCUAUUGAUUGUCUGCUUGCUGAUUCUGUCUAAACUAUGUUGUAAUUACACAAGAAUUUAUGAAUACAUAUAAUAGUUGAAAAUAGAGAAAUGAAAAAAAUUCCCAUAUUCUACAUUGGACGUCGGCUUCCAAAAAACUGUCGUCUUAUGUAUUGCAGGGGACGAUGCUUGCACAUAAACUAUUAUCUCAUGUACUGCAGUAGGAUGACGCUUGAGUAGCAACUGUCAUCUCAUUUACUGCAGUGGAUGACGCUUGCACAGAAACUAUCAUCACAUGUACUUAAAGAGACAAUGUUUGUAUAGGAACUAUCCUCUCAUGUACGACAGGAGAUGACGCUUUUAUUUAAAUUUUCGUUUCAUGUUUUACAUGGCAUGACAUUGAACCGACGUACGAGAGUCCAUACGACGGUAUUAGAACCGACGUACAAGAGUCCAUACGACGGUUUAAAACCAUCGUCCCAUGUCAAUUUUGUAGUAGUGUACAGUCUACCAUAGCUUGGUUUUCAGGUCAUGAUCAGUAAAGUUCAAUAGUGAACUAGAUAUGUUUGAAAGGCAAGUGAUUUAAUUUAUAACCAUGUAUGUACUAAUUUCAUUAAAAAUUGAUAGAAUAUGUUACAAAAAAUAAAAAGACACACACGAAAUGGUCUCAAUUUUUGGGACCCCAAUAACUUAAAUACAUGACUGUUCUAAGUGAUUCAUCAGAUUGCUUCAACUUCUCAUCUCUAAACUUAUUAGACACAGCAGUCGAAUACUGAGAAGUUGGGAUCUUCUUGGCAUAGAACUCUCUUCAAUGGCAAAGAAUAAGGGGCUAGUAUUUUGAUUACAUGUAUUGUUAAGUAACCUUAUUUGCUAAUAAUAUUGCAUCCGUUGAGGCUAUUUCAAUGAAUCUGAUUGCUGUAGUUUCUUUGCUUGUGUAUUGAUAGUUUUUCUGCUCUUUUCAUUUUAUAAUCUGGCUCACUCUUGUGCAAAAUAUUGGGUUAGAGAAUCCAAAACUAGAUAGAAAACUAAGCUUUGUUUUGGGUAAUUUCCAUGGAAAUAAAUGUAUAUAUCAUUUUAAUUGAGAUCAGACUAUUGAAAUGUUUUGGAUUAAUGAGAAGUUGCUUCUAUGAAGAUCAGUGAAUUGAGUUUGGUGGUCCUAUUGUUUGAGUUUCUUCCGUAUUCCUUUCUUUUUUUUUCUUUGCUUCCUGAUUCUUCUUUGUUCUUGCUCUGUAGUUCCCAUUUCCACAUCUGCACAUCCAUUCUCCUGUAUAGUGUGGUCACACUCCUGGGUUGGGCUUGCUUCCCUUGUAUAUUCAGUUUUAAAAAAAUUGGAGACACAUAUCAAGGUGCUAAGGAGAAAGUAAAAGAAAGGGAAAAGUUCACAGAAAAUCCUGGGCAGUCAGAAUGCAAGUAUUAUUUGAGGUCAGGGGGGUGUAAAUUUGGAAAAGCGUGUAAAUAUAACCACACUAGAGGAAAGACUUCUGCAACACCAUUAGCACCAGUUCUAGAGUUUAACUUUGUUGGUCUUCCAAUCCGAGUGAGGAAAAAUUUGGUCAAAGGGAAUAUGCAACUAUUUUCAGUGGAACAACAGAGAAGCCAAGCUCUGGAAGCUCAUGCUGCUGCUUUUGCACAAUUUAAAGUUCUAGGGAAUGAGAAUCCUUAUACUCUCAUUUCCUUUGCAACAAAGACUUUUAAUGCUGGCCAAAUUACAUCAAAGCUGCAUGUUAUAGAUCUUGGUGCCCAACCAGGUUGUCCAGCGAUUCCAAGAACUAUUUGCGCAAACGAAGUAUAAAGAAGCUGUUAAACUUGCUGCUGAGUCUCCACAAGGAAUUCUUCGUACUCCUGAUACAGUUGCCAAAAUUCAGGAGAAAAAUGUCUCUUUCUUCAUCAAUUGGAGGAGAAAAGGAUACUUAAUUUUGAAGGCUUUGUAUUGGGCAGUUGUAGAAUAUUUUGUGCUGAAAGUAGUAACUUUUCAAUAUGUUGAAUAUUUAAGACUACUUGAAUACUUAAAUAACAUUUUGUUGUUGAUGACAGUGUUGAAUGUUUUAAACUAAUUUGUGGAUUGUUAAUACAAUGUUGAAUGUUU